AUGUGAAAUCCCCGGGCUCAACCUGGGAACUGCAUUCGAAACUGGCAGGCUAGAGUCUUGUAGAGGGGGGUAGAAUUCCAGGUGUAGCGGUGAAAUGCGUAGAGAUCUGGAGGAAUACCGGUGGCGAAGGCGGCCCCCUGGACAAAGACUGACGCUCAGGUGCGAAAGCGUGGGGAGCAAACAGGAUUAGAUACCCUGGUAGUCCACGCCGUAAACGAUGUCGACUUGGAGGUUGUGCCCUUGAGGCGUGGCUUCCGGAGCUAACGCGUUAAGUCGACCGCCUGGGGAGUACGGCCGCAAGGUUAAAACUCAAAUGAAUUGACGGGGGCCCGCACAAGCGGUGGAGCAUGUGGUUUAAUUCGAUGCAACGCGAAGAACCUUACCUACUCUUGACAUCCAGAGAACUUUCCAGAGAUGGAUUGGUGCCUUCGGGAACUCUGAGACAGGUGCUGCAUGGCUGUCGUCAGCUCGUGUUGUGAAAUGUUGGGUUAAGUCCCGCAACGAGCGCAACCCUUAUCCUUUGUUGCCAGCGGUCCGGCCGGGAACUCAAAGGAGACUGCCAGUGAUAAACUGGAGGAAGGUGGGGAUGACGUCAAGUCAUCAUGGCCCUUACGAGUAGGGCUACACACGUGCUACAAUGGCGCAUACAAAGAGAAGCGACCUCGCGAGAGCAAGCGGACCUCAUAAAGUGCGUCGUAGUCCGGAUUGGAGUCUGCAACUCAACUCCAUGAAGUCGGAAUCGCUAGUAAUCGUAGAUCAGAAUGCUACGGUGAAUACGUUCCCGGGCCUUGUACACACCGCCCGUCACACCAUGGGAGUGGGUUGCAAAAGAAGUAGGUAGCUUAACCUUCGGGAGGGCGCUUACCACUUUGUGAUUCAUGACUGGGGUGAAGUCGUAACAAGGUA
rnacentral:rRNA from 1 species